AGAAGCAGUCUGAGUCCUGCGUGCCACAGAAGGCCUGGGCACCUCUGGACUAGUGCAACAUCAGUUUAUGAGUCACGUGUACUCAGAGGACCCUCCCCCCACACACACCAUGAGGAAGCCACAGGAGUGCACCUGGGAGAGUGGGUAAGCAGGGCCUGUGGGGUCUGUACUGACCAAAGGCCAAGGUGAAUCUGGUUCCUACAGGAAGGGAUCAUCGACAUGUUCAAACAAUUUCACAGGUUGGGGAAAGUGGAACCUGUUGGGUUGAGGACGAGGUGGGAGGCCACUCGGUCCAGCGGAGAGGGGCAGGGGCCAGGAUGGAGUCUUUCCUGCUGCAGGGCUCGGGGGGCUGGCAUGGAGCUUCGGGGUGAUCAUUAGGCCAGCCUUCGUGGUCGGAGUGAGGGAGGCAGGGACUCCGUCCUGUUCCGGAUUCUGUCUCCGGAGCAGCCUGGUGGGCCUCUGGGGAUUCAGCAACCAAGCAGCAGAAAUCUCGGGCAGGAGACCGCGUCUGCACUGGGAGGGCGCAGACAGGGCGCAGACUCCUCGUCACGGCUCGGGAAGGUGUGACGGCUUCACACAGAGUAUGGUGUGUGCCACUGGGUCCGGCUUGGUGGCUGCACUGCGGGGCGCUGGCCAGGGUGACAUCCCACCCAGAGCACACGGCACACGGAACAGCUCACGCCGGGACUCGGGGAGCACAGAGAGGCCCCUCCAGGCGCGUGUCCCCCGGUGGCCUAAGAACCCCCGCUAAGCCCUGCACCUGGAGACUCCGCUGCCUCCAAUGAUAUAGCAGCUUGGGGACCAAACUGUGACACGCGGACCUGUGGCCCACUGUCCCUUUACACCGUGGUGUGAACCUCUAGGGUGCUGCCAGGGUCCCCAUCUGGAGCCUGCCCUGGAAGCUCUCGUGCUGGAAGCGUCCUGGUCACUAGGUCUAUGGGCAGGAGCCUCCUGGCCCGGCACAGGGCAGUUCCUGACCCCAGUGUUUUCAACUCGAGGUUGGCGGCACCUGGAGAUGCGGCGCCCUGGGGGACACAGAGAUGGGGGCUUUGGCUCCCGCGGUUACGGGCCGAGAAGCCUCGAGACGGGCUGCCUGCAAACUGGGGAUCAGGAAAGCCGGAGGUGCAGUGAGCAUGGAACCCAGGGAGGCUGCACCACCAAGCUGCAUCACCAGCCCUUUUUGAUUUUUACCUAGAGACAGGGCCUCACCAAGUUGCUGAGGCUGGCCUCAAACUUUCGAUCCUCCUGCCUCAGCCUCCCCAGUCACUGGGAUCACAGGCGUGCUCCCCUGCACCUGGCCUGCGCCUAUUUUUUCGAACAGGAGGACCCAGAGCAGGGCAGCAUGGGCAGCUGGGACACCAAGAGGACUGAAUCAGGCCCUUUUGUGUUCAGAGCCUGCAGUCUCCGGGCUGGGGAUGUGGCUGAGUGACAGAGCACUUGGCUGGCAUCCACAGGCCCUGGGUUCAAACCCCCAUACGGCGGUGGCGGGGGGAGGGGGGGGAUGCCAGUGGUCUCUGGUGUCGGUAGAAAAUUUAAUUUCUAGUUCCAUUGACUUGUCUCGUCCCGUCUCGAGUCUGUUUUCCGCCUAUGGCUUGUGUCGUGUGAGUCAAGUGUGGUCUGAACGCGCACACGCGCACUUGUGUGACCUGCACCGGUGCUUGUUGACAGCGGGGGGCCGAGGGUUGUCCUCUGGAAUGUGAUGCAUGCUCAGAACAAGGGGGAGGGUCAUCGGUGAUACAGUUGUGCUCUGU